UGCUUCCAUUCCUUCCUACCUGCUCAGUAGAUUCUAGGUCAGCUAAAUCUAGAAAGAAGCAAGAUAUGUUUUCCCACUGCUAUAGAAACAUUCAGCAUUGAGAUUGCUGGAGGGAAGAUUGAAACUGGAGAUGAGGCAUAAUGAACUUUUUUCCUUCAACCCAUAAAGGCUACCUUCAACAUCUGAUAAUACCUGUGAAGAGGACAAUUGUGAAGAGGGUGAACUGGUACAGCUCUACCUCGCAGAGUAUGUGUUUGUCACCACCCCCAUUGCCCUCCAAGACCCCGAAAGCACAGGCAGUUUUUGUUGAUUUUCAGUAUUACCAGCAACUUUGAAUUUUAGACAAACUGAUAAGAAGUCCAA
rnacentral:lncRNA from 1 species